rnacentral:sRNA from 1 species
AGAAAGUGCAACUGACGAGGGAAAGGUCUCUGCAGUGAGUGGAGUGCCUACAUAAAAGAGAGUAAAGAGGUGCAAAAACCCAGAUCAGAAUGCAGGCGACGUCCAACCUUCUCAACCUCCUGCUGCUGUCUUUGCUUGCCGGAUUAGAUCCUUCCAAGACUCAGAUUAGUCCUAAAGAAGGGUGGCAGGUGUACAGCUCAGCUCAGGAUCCUGAUGGGCGGUGCAUUUGCACAGUUGUUGCUCCAGAACAAAACCUGUGUUCUCGGGAUGCCAAAAGCAGGCAACUUCGCCAACUACUGGAAAAGGUUCAGAACAUGUCCCAGUCUAUUGAAGUCUUAAACUUGAGAACUCAGAGAGAUUUCCAAUAUGUUUUAAAAAUGGAAACCCAAAUGAAAGGGCUGAAGGCAAAGUUUCGGCAGAUUGAAGAUGAUCGAAAGACACUUAUGACCAAGCAUUUUCAGGAGUUGAAAGAGAAAAUGGAUGAGCUCCUGCCUUUGAUCCCCGUGCUGGAACAGUACAAAACAGAUGCUAAGUUAAUCACCCAGUUCAAGGAGGAAAUACGGAAUCUGUCGGCUGUCCUCACUGGAAUUCAGGAGGAAAUUGGUGCCUAUGACUACGAGGAACUACACCAAAGAGUGCUGAGCUUGGAAACAAGACUUCGUGACUGCAUGAAAAAGCUAAUUGAUUUAAAAAACAGAAAAGAAGAAAAAAGGCAACAGAAAGGAGAAGCAUAAGCAAUAGUAUUUUGGGAAGCUAUGACACGCGACUUGCCUCCCUGUUCACCUUUGUAUUCUCAGCACCUAGAAUAGUUCUGGUACAAAAUAAGUUCACAGUAAAUGGUUGUCAAAUGAAUAAAUUAAUUAUUAAAUCUUUAAAUAGUAACUAUUGUUUUUACCCUCUAACAUAUUUCAGAGAAAUUCUUAGUGCUACAAGAAAGUAAAGUUUGCUUUCUAAGGUAUGAUUGACUGGAGUAAGAAUCAAUUUUCCUUACAAAACCAGGUACAAAAUAAAAGAGUCAACUAGCCAAAAGACCACUUUACCAUGGUCACCCAAUGUUUAGUUUAAGAGCCAGAAGCUUUUAACCUCCGGUACAAAUUGUGUCCUAAGUUUUGGCCGAAACAACCUAAGACUCAGCGGUAUCCCUUUGCCAUAGAGAUGCAAGGCUGGAUUAGAUUCAAGCACCAUGGAAGCCAAAGACACCCCAAGCCAGUGAUGUGCUGUGGGUUGUUUGGAAAUGUUGAUUAGAUAAGGCUCAUGGUAUGAUUCAGAGCUCCAAGGACAGUUCUUGUUCAGGUUUCAACUAAUCAACAUCUGAUUAUGCACACCUCAACAUCUGAAAUAUGCAGACAUUUGAGACAAAUACCAGAAUUGUGUCCUCUUGCUUUGUAUAAAUCAUGCUUCAGUCUGGCAAUAAGCAUGUGGCAAAUUGAUGAAAAUCACAGGCCCAGUUACAGUCAAGACAUCUGGAACCCGAUUUGGUGCUUGGAUGACAGACCCUUUAGCAUCUGAAAAAAACAACAGAGUCUGGUACAUGGACAGUUAUACUAACAAUAAAAUUGUUCGUGAAUACAAAUCAAUUGCAGACUUUGUCAGUGGGGCUGAAUCAAGGACAUACAACCUUCCUUUCAAGUGGGCAGGAACUAACCAUGUUGUCUACAAUGGCUCACUCUAUUUUAACAAGUAUCAGAGUAAUAUCAUCAUCAAAUACAGCUUUGAUAUGGGGAGAGUGCUUGCCCAACGAAGUCUGGAGUAUGCUGGUUUUCAUAAUGUUUACCCCUACACAUGGGGUGGAUUCUCUGACAUCGACCUAAUGGCUGAUGAAAUCGGGCUGUGGGCUGUGUAUGCAACUAACCAGAAUGCAGGCAAUAUUGUCAUCAGCCAACUUAACCAAGAUACCUUGGAGGUGAUGAAGAGCUGGAGCACUGGCUACCCCAAGAGAAGUGCAGGGGAAUCUUUCAUGAUCUGUGGGACACUGUAUGUCACCAACUCCCACUUAACUGGAGCCAAGGUGUAUUAUUCCUAUUCCACCAAAACCUCCACAUAUGAGUACACAGACAUUCCCUUCCAUAACCAAUACUUUCACAUAUCCAUGCUUGACUACAAUGCAAGAGAUCGAGCUCUCUAUGCCUGGAACAAUGGCCACCAGGUCCUGUUCAAUGUCACCCUUUUCCAUAUCAUCAAGACAGAGGAUGACACAUAGGCAAAUGUGAUAUGUUUUCAUUGAUCUAAACAGUGUAAUUUGUGAUAAACUCUAUAGGACCCCUUCUGUUUUUUUCUUCACUAUUGUUUUCAUCAUUUCUCCAAAGCAAAGCAUUUUUAUUGUAAAGUUGGUGUUUCAAAAAAAUAGCUGAGCUUGUCUAACUUACCAUGUUGGAAACACAUCUUAACUUCUAAAUUUACAAGGCCUAUCAUGUCCUUGUUGUGAAAAGCACUAAAAAAAAAGAGUUUAAGUGGCUAAAGUCAUAGUUUUGCAAGAGAUUAAUGAUCUGCCUUAUGUUAGAGUCAGAGACUAAUGGUGGCUUAAAUGCAUGAAUGUCUUUUUUUUUUUUAAAACUGUCAUUUUUUACUGUCUUUUGCUCCAUAUCAGGAAAUAUUUUGGUAGGAAUUAGAAGAACAAAAAGCACUUUUAUCCCAUUUAUUUCUUUAAAAAAUGUAAGGAUUUCAUUUUAUUGAAAAAUAAUAUUAAUCAUUUUGCUGUUAACACAACUCUCUGAUGCGGUGCUGUACAGUCAUUUUUAAAUCUCUUGCUAACAUUUUAUUGGCAGUAUGUAUUUCUACCAUUGUAACCACCAUUGUGCUAUUGUAUCUCUUCACUUCUGUGAAAGUAAUAUUUUUUAUAAAAUACACUGAAAUUUAAUCUCAGUAAUCGAGUCCAUUUUCAAGUGUGGUCAAGAAUAAUCUUCUUGGCUUACCCCUUUACAUAAGCAUUAUAAACUAAAAUGAAAACCAAA